rnacentral:tRNA from 1 species
GGGGAUGUGGCUCAGUGGUAGAGUGCUUGCCUAGCAGGCAUGAUAUCCGGGCUUCCAUCCCUA